UUGAAUAAACUUGGUUGGGUUGUUGCUGGCUCCUAGGAGCAUGUGCACGCCUAAUCCAUUUUUAACCACCUGUGCACCUUUUGUAGACUUGAAUAGCCUUCGAGACAAAUGUACUCGGUUUGAGAAUUGCUGUGUGAAAAGCUCAGCUCUUCUUGUGUUCAAGUCUAUGUUUUAUAUUAUACCCCAUAAGAAUGUAUUAGAAUGUAAUGAACAGGCCAUCGUGCCUUUAAACACAAAUA
rnacentral:misc_RNA from 1 species